GAUGAACGCUGGCGGCGUGCUUAACACAUGCAAGUCGAACGGAAAGGCCCAAGCUUGCUUGGGUACUCGAGUGGCGAACGGGUGAGUAACACGUGGGUGAUCUGCCCUGCACUUCGGGAUAAGCCUGGGAAACUGGGUCUAAUACCGGAUAGGACCACAUUUUGGAUGGUGUGGUGGAAAGUUUUUCGGUGUGGGAUGAGCUCGCGGCCUAUCAGCUUGUUGGUGGGGUAAUGGCCUACCAAGGCGUCGACGGGUAGCCGGCCUGAGAGGGUGUACGGCCACAUUGGGACUGAGAUACGGCCCAGACUCCUACGGGAGGCAGCAGUGGGGAAUAUUGCACAAUGGGCGCAAGCCUGAUGCAGCGACGCCGCGUGGGGGAUGACGGCCUUCGGGUUGAAAACUCCUUUCGCUAGGGACGAAGCGUUAUGUGACGGUACCUGGAGAAGAAGCACCGGCUAACUACGUG
rnacentral:rRNA from 1 species